GACGAACGCUGGCGGCGUGCUUAACACAUGCAAGUCGAACGGAAAGGCCCUGCUUUUGUGGGGUGCUCGAGUGGCGAACGGGUGAGUAACACGUGAGUAACCUGCCCUUGACUUUGGGAUAACUUCAGGAAACUGGGGCUAAUACCGGAUAGGAGCUCCUGCUGCAUGGUGGGGGUUGGAAAGUUUCGGCGGUUGGGGAUGGACUCGCAGCUUAUCAGCUUGUUGGUGGGGUAGUGGCUUACCAAGGCUUUGACGGGUAGCCGGCCUGAGAGGGUGACCGGCCACAUUGGGACUGAGAUACGGCCCAGACUCCUACGGGAGGCAGCAGUGGGGAAUAUUGCACAAUGGGCGGAGGCCUGAUGCAGCAACGCCGCGUGCGGGAUGACGGCCUUCGGGUUGUAAACCGCUUUCGCCUGUGACGAAGCGUGAGUGACGGUAAUGGGUAAAGAAGCACCGGCUAACUACGUG
rnacentral:rRNA from 1 species